GACGAACCGUGCGAACGUUGUUCGGAAUCACUGGGCUUAAAGGGCGCGUAGGCGGGCUGCCAAGUCCGGGGUGAAAUCUUUCGGCUCAACCGGAAAAUAGCCUCGGAGACUGGCGGUCUGGAGGGGGGUAGGGGCAGCUGGAACUUCCGGUGGAGCGGUGAAAUGCGUUGAUAUCGGAAGGAACGCCGGUGGCGAAAGCGAGCUGCUGGACCUUUUCUGACGCUGAGGCGCGAAAGCCAGGGGAGCAAACGGG
rnacentral:rRNA from 1 species